rnacentral:piRNA from 1 species
UAGAACUUCACAACAAAUAGAGCAUUGC